CCUACGGGAGGCAGCAGUGGGGAAUAUUGCACAAUGGGCGAAAGCCUGAUGCAGCGACGCCGCGUGAGGGAUGACGGCCUUCGGGUUGUAAACCUCUUUCAGCAGGGAAGAAGCGAAAGUGACGGUACCUGCAGAAGAAGCGCCGGUUAACUACGUGCCAGCAGCCGCGGUAAUACGUAGGGCGCGAGCGUUGUCCGGAAUUAUUGGGCGUAAAGAGCUCGUAGGCGGCUUGUCACGUCGGGUGUGAAAGCCCGGGGCUUAACCCCGGGUCUGCAUUCGAUACGGGCUAGCUAGAGUGUGGUAGGGGAGAUCGGAAUUCCUGGUGUAGCGGUGAAAUGCGCAGAUAUCAGGAGGAACACCGGUGGCGAAGGCGGAUCUCUGGGCCAUUACUGACGCUGAGGAGCGAAAGCGUGGGGAGCGAACAGGAUUAGAUACCCUGGUAGUCCACGCCGUAAACGGUGGGAACUAGGUGUUGGCGACAUUCCACGUCGUCGGUGCCGCAGCUAACGCAUAAGUUCCCCGCCUGGGGAGUACGGCCGCAAGGCUAAAACUCAAAGGAUUGACGG
rnacentral:rRNA from 1 species